UACUUCUAAAGACACAAUUCUUUGUUCUUUAUUAUUUUUUUUCAAAAACUUGUGGCCCACAUCCAUCCAACACUCUCUUUUCCGCUUAACUCACCCACUUCUAUCCAACUCUCUCUCUCCCCCCUUAACCCACUGACACCCUUCGUAAUUAUCCCCACUAUCACUCCCCCUUAGCCCGCCCUCAACCAUCCAACUCUAUCUCUCUCUUCCCCUAACCCACGACACCCUUCGUAGAUCAUACUCCCCUCAACCCACCCACAUCCAUCCGUCUCUCUCUCUCUCUCUCUCUCUCUCUCUCUCUCUCCCUCUCCCCUUAACCCACACACAUCCUUCAUAUUUAUCUCUUUCAUAUUUCCUUAUUUUUAGUUCUGGCUCUUCCCUCUCUGUUCUCUCUAAAACGACCAAGCCGGACUCGCCGGCCAAGUUUCGGCCAAAACUGGGUCUCGACCCAAUAGAGAAAACUGAUCCUCUCAUAGUGAGCGUCCUAUCUAUAUUUGGUUAGUGGUUUUGUUUGGGAGAUUGAAUUCAAGCUGAACUGUAAGAAAGUGGUUCAAAUUCUUGGAUUUAGAUACGAGAAUGUAAUUGUGGUGGAGAAUAUAGAGAAGAUGGUAGGAUCUUAUCUUCCAGCAGAUAAGGGCAGUUUUUGGUUUUGGCAUUUAAGAUAUUUAAGUAGGGUUUCUCUUGCAAUUGUAGAAUUUGUUAAUUUUGGAAGCAUGAAUUAAAUGUUUGGGAUUAACUUACAAUGCUUCCUAUCAAAACCAAUUAAACCCAUUUUCUGAAUCUAAUGUUACAAUGUUGUGCACUCUCAUUGAUAAGCAGAUUUUCAUUAUGAUGAAUUUUCAGUCUUUCUCAAAAUCUCCAUAACUAAAAUUCAUGUGGCAUUCGGUGUGAAUUUUGUCGGAUUUGUCUCAUUGCAUUGUAUUGAUUUCUUGUAUUGUUACCAUGCCCGUCAAUUUUUCCUUUUUAUUCCUAACUAUUUUCACUUUCAAGGAAAAGAGGUUUCUUGUUUGAUGCCUUGCAGGAGAGUUGUGGUUUUGACAAUUGGGGCAAAUAAACGUCACUUAUGAAGUAUGUUUGUUACUUGUUUCAUUAUUAGCAAAUGAACAUAAAUUUAAUUUGUUAUCUUCAUUUAACUUCUUGAUGAUCACAUUAUGUUGAUAA